AUGGUCUGGGCGCUGACCCCCGUCGGCACAGAGCGCGGGGCGCAGAAGUACUACAUCUCCGCCGCCGGGACGUACACGGUCGGCCGCAAAGAUUGCGAUAUCGUUCAAACAGAAACGUCGAUAUCCCGAGUGCAUGCGGAGAUAGCAGUUGAAAAGAUGGUUGCCUGGGAGCCACGUUCUGGUGCUCCAGCAAGCCCUUCAUGUGUUAGUGUAGUUGAUCGUUCAAAAUAUGGCACAUUUGUCAACAAGGUACAGGGGACCCAGGGCAGUCGUCUACGUAAAGAUGAAGUUGUGGUGCUUUCCGAUGGCGAUACUGUGACUUUCGGAAAUGGCAACAUGACCUUCAGGUUCUCGUUUGUCCCCAUAGUGGUCUUUUUUCAUGGCAAAAAGUCAGCACGAAUUGAUCGAUCAUUGCAGGCAGUCAUGACAUCUAUUGGUGCAUAUGUUACUCGUAAGUGGUUUGAUACAUGUACACAUGUUCUUGUGGAUGAAUCAUCUCCAUUGACACCUGAGCUCCUUGAUGCAAUCAUCACAAAAAAGCCAAUCAUCUUGGGAAGCUGGUUCAAGGCGAUGGCUGAAAAGAACAUACACACAGAGAUCCCUUCUUGUACACAAUAUAUUCCAAACUUGACUCUUGAUGGGAUGGAUAUAAAGAUGGUUGAGAACAAGCUCAUGGAGAAUUGCCUGGCAGGCCAUACUUUUAUCCUGGGGUCGUCAGAAAAGUAUAAAUUUGGAGAGAAAAUACAAGAGCUACUGGAAUCAACUGGAGCAAAAUAUCUUAGCAUCGAGGAGUUUUGUGCUAACAGCCAGGACUCUGGAGCUGGAGACAAUGACCAACAAAUUCUUCUUGUUCCUGCAAAAUCUCCUUUGGAGUUCAGUAAGAUGCGUCCUCUAUUUCCUUUGUCCAAGACCACUGACGUGAAGCUAUUUGCUGCUAUAUUGUCUGGUCGCUUGGAAGCAGCUGCUAUUGAACCACCUGCUUACAUGAUUACAUCCUCCAAUACAACAGAUGAAACUAUUGUGGCGGAUUCUGAUGUUGAAACAGAUACUGCAAUAUCUGAUCAUACUGUUGCUGCUAGCAAGUCUGAGCACCAUAUUCAGCAUAUGUCUGAUGAUAAAGCAGAAAGUAAAGUUACAAGCAGUGUGAGUGCUGUAAAUUUAGAAGAAACAAACGUCAGCAUCAAUAUUCAGAACGACCUGGAGAAAGAAGAAAUUUUGGAACCCAUGGAGGAGGAUGUUCAGGUCAUAGAGAAAACAGCAAUUUCUGGGUUCAAAGCUGGAGGCGAGGACGUUCAGGUUAUAAACAAGCUGGUGCAGGAUGAGGCUUGUGAUGCUGUUUUCGUGAACAAGGCGCCAAAGGAUGAGAACUUGGACAGUAGCAGGGAAGAGACUUGUCAUGUUAUUUUCAGUCAAGAUCUGAUUGUCAAAAGGGUCCUUCAGCCAGCUCCUGCCGUGUUGACAGAAACUGGAGGUGUUAACUUCAAACGAUUCAAAAAGAGGCAAACCGUGUCUGGAAACAGCUUCAAGGCCCUUAUUCCAUGUGCACAAGAACCAUACAGAGAGUCUGAUUGCGAGAAAGGCACCUUGAACGAUUUCAUGAGAGAGGAGAAGCGGCGAAAGCAAAUGGAAUCCAUUGCAGAGGACCUCUUCAACAACCAGAAGCCGCAGAAAAAGAAGGCGGCUGCGGGCAGUUCAAUCCAGAUCCUGCUCACCGGUUGCCGAUGA
rnacentral:rRNA from 1 species